rnacentral:rRNA from 1 species
UACGUAGGGUGCGAGCGUUGUCCGGAAUUAUUGGGCGUAAAGAGCUUGUAGGCGGUUUGUCGCGUCUGCCGUGAAAAUCCGGGGCUCAACCCCGGACUUGCGGUGGGUACGGGCAGACUAGAGUGUGGUAGGGGAGACUGGAAUUCCUGGUGUAGCGGUGAAAUGCGCAGAUAUCAGGAGGAACACCGGUGGCGAAGGCGGGUCUCUGGGCAUUUCCUGACGCUGAGGCGCGAAAGCGUGGGGAGCAAACGGG